rnacentral:rRNA from 1 species
AGUCGAACGGCAGCAUGAUCUAGCUUGCUAGAUUGAUGGCGAGUGGCGAACGGGUGAGUAAUACAUCGGAACGUGCCCUGUAGUGGGGGAUAACUAGUCGAAAGAUUAGCUAAUACCGCAUACGACCUGAGGGUGAAAGUGGGGGACCGCAAGGCCUCAUGCUAUAGGAGCGGCCGAUGUCUGAUUAGCUAGUUGGUGAGGUAAAGGCUCACCAAGGCGACGAUCAGUAGCUGGUCUGAGAGGACGAUCAGCCACACUGGGACUGAGACACGGCCCAGACUCCUACGGGAGGCAGCAGUGGGAAAUUUUGGACAAUGGGGGCAACCCUGAUCCAGCAAUGCCGCGUGUGUGAAGAAGGCCUUCGGGUUGUAAAGCACUUUUGUCCGGAAAGAAAUCGCACUUACUAAUAUUAGGUGUGGAUGACGGUACCGGAAGAAUAAGGACCGGCUAACUACGUGCCAGCAGCCGCGGUAAUACGUAGGGUCCAAGCGUUAAUCGGAAUUACUGGGCGUAAAGCGUGCGCAGGCGGUUGUGCAAGACCGAUGUGAAAUCCCCGGGCUUAACCUGGGAAUUGCAUUGGUGACUGCACGGCUAGAGUGUGUCAGAGGGGGGUAGAAUUCCACGUGUAGCAGUGAAAUGCGUAGAGAUGUGGAGGAAUACCGAUGGCGAAGGCAGCCCCCUGGGAUAACACUGACGCUCAUGCACGAAAGCGUGGGGAGCAAACAGGAUUAGAUACCCUGGUAGUCCACGCCCUAAACGAUGUCAACUAGUUGUUGGGGAUUCAUUUCCUUAGUAACGUAGCUAACGCGUGAAGUUGACCGCCUGGGGAGUACGGUCGCAAGAUUAAAACUCAAAGGAAUUGACGGGGACCCGCACAAGCGGUGGAUGAUGUGGAUUAAUUCGAUGCAACGCGAAA